rnacentral:rRNA from 1 species
AUGGAUUUUGCAAACCCGACAUGCGGCGAUGUGGUUCAUGCCAACAGCAAAUAUAAGGAUUGGCCGGUGCUGCCGGCUGGCGUCAAGUUCGAUCCCACGGAUCAGGAGCUAGUCGAGCACCUUGAGGCCAAAGUGAGUGCUGACAGCGCGAGAUCUCACCCUCUCAUCGAUUUGUUCAUACCAACCAUCGACAGCGAGCACGGCAUAUGCUACACCCAUCCUGAGAAACUUCCAGGUAUCACACUGAGUGGCCUAAGCAAGCAUUUCUUUCAGCGCAAUUCCAGGGCGUUCAAAAGGGGCACGUGGACGCGUCGCAAGAUACAGUCGGAGUGCGGCAUGCACGCGAUGUGGCACAACACCGGCAAUACCUUGCCGGUGAAGGUCAACGGCCGGCAGACGGGCAGCAAAAAGGUUCUGGUGCUGCACACCAACAAGAACUUCGACCAGCAGAGGACCAACUGGGUGAUGCACCAGUACCACCUCGGGGACCUGGAGCAAGAGAAGGAGCGGGAGCUGGUCCUCUACAAGAUUUUCUACCAGACGAACACUAGGGCCAGGAGUAAAAAGAUUAUAAGUUACGUUAGUUGUAUUUUGUCUUACAACAUCCGCAGGCACUUUUUUUUUACUGAAUCAAACACACAACCCAGUUCUAUUUUCCUCUUGAAACGCAUGUCCUACAUCCGUUUUCUAAUCUCUACCUAUAGUUUUACUAGUUCAUAUACACAUAUCAUUAUAUUGAAAAUACAUAAAAUUCCCUUUUCAUAUUUACAUCCUUAUUUUUGUUGUUGUUUUCCCUCCCAGCGCUGA